rnacentral:rRNA from 1 species
CAUGGCUCAGAACGAACGCUGGCGGCAUGCCUAAUACAUGCAAGUCGAACGAGAUCUUCGGAUCUAGUGGCGCACGGGUGCGUAACGCGUGGGAAUCUGCCCUUGGGUUCGGAAUAACUUCUGGAAACGGAAGCUAAUACCGGAUGAUGACGUAAGUCCAAAGAUUUAUCGCCCAAGGAUGAGCCCGCGUAGGAUUAGCUAGUUGGUGGGGUAAAGGCCCACCAAGGCGACGAUCCUUAGCUGGUCUGAGAGGAUGAUCAGCCACACUGGGACUGAGACACGGCCCAGACUCCUACGG